UUUGUGAUGAAGAGUCCAUCACAAUUGAGGAACACAGUGAAAUGCUAAUGAGAAAAGAACGAGUCAAAGGUAUGAGGAUCUUUGGGUAAUUGUGGGUUUAGGUUAGGUUGAAGCACUGACAGACUCAGCAAAUGACAAGUGUGCUCAGAAAAAAUUCAACCUAAAAUCUUGUCAAACUCUCUCCUCAUACCUUGGUUUCUUUAAUGUUUUAACCCCCAUAUGGUCCUGUUUGAGCUUAAGUAAAUCCACCCAAAAGAGCAAGAGUUCACAGUGGGUUGAUAAGUUAUUGCAAGGUUAGUGAAGUCCCAAAGCGGGGUUGAUAAGCCCAAGGAUGGCA
rnacentral:lncRNA from 1 species